rnacentral:piRNA from 1 species
UGAUUGUGGAGGAAGACCAGCACCACAGU